rnacentral:rRNA from 1 species
UACGUAGGGGGCAAGCGUUGUCCGGAUUUAUUGGGCGUAAAGAGCGUGUAGGCGGUUUGGUAGGUCCGCUGUGAAAACUCGAGGCUCAACCUCGAGACGUCGGUUGAAACCGUAAGGCUAGAGUCCGGAAGAGGAGAGUGGAAUUCCCGGUGUAGCGGUGAAAUGCGCAGAUAUCGGGAAGAACACCCGUGGCGAAGGCGGCUCUCUGGGACGGUACUGACGCUGAGACGCGAAAGCGUGGGGAGCGAACAGG